AGGAAGUGGGUCCAACUU
rnacentral:miRNA from 1 species